rnacentral:lncRNA from 1 species
GAAGGUCUUGUCAAUUGUAGUACAACGGUAAAAAGACAGAUGAAAACGGAUGUCGGGUGAAGAAGUUAUGAAUUUUUAACGAAUUUUCCUGUCCCGGUCUUUUAAAAAUAAUAAUAUUAAAAUUAAAGUCAAAAUUAGUCGACGAAGUCUAAACGAAAGUUGUAGAAUAUAUUCCCGCCUACGCGUUCAUAUAUAGAAUGUAAAAAACGGACCUCGUAUACAAAAGUUAUGAAUUUCGGAUGAUUUUAGUUCAAUUUCUGAGAAUUUUCGCACGGAUAAGAUCCGGAAUAGGCAACGUCAUCCGAUCUCGGUGAGUCACCUGCCACGUGUCCGAUGCGUGUUGCGUUCCUUCCGAGUCCGAGUUGCAAUCCAAUAAGACGAUGGGCGUGUGGUUUCGGUGGCGAGCACUCGCAUCCGUCGCGUGCCACUUCGCAUCUGAGCCAGCUACCUCCGGAUCCAAGCCUCGCAUCUGCUGACGCAUGGAGUCCUCUCAGCCGCUGAUCUUCGGACUUCGCCCCUAUAAAUAGGAGGGCUGCAAACCCUCUUGAGUGAAAUGGGAAAAUUGCUACUUUUUACCCCUUUUUCAAUAUUUUCACUAUUUUGACAUCCCCCGAAUCCCCGGUAUCAAUUUUAGCACCCGAAACACGCUCCGAAGUGCCCGAAGACCCCGAGAAAUUUAACUUUUCGGUUUAAAGCUCUACCUUUGCAGAGCCCAGUUUUCAAUAAAGCUCUCGGUUUUUAUAGAAGAAAGUUAUUUAUAGUAACCAAGUGCUGCACAAAUUACUGUUUUAACCCCCUGUUUUAAUUUCAAGGUGAGUUCAAUAUAUAGGAACAAUUGUAUGUUAUGUGUUAUAUGUGUUAUGUGCUUUUUCCGGUUUAUUAUCUCGUGUUGUUAUUUCAUGCUAUAUUUGUAGCAAAGUUAUACCUUUGACCAUGUGAUCAGUGAAAGGACUUAGAUUCACGGUGGUACCGGUAUGUAGCCUCUGGCCAUGUAGAACAUGUCUCGUAAGAGAAUGACUUCUAUUCUAUGGCAUUGGCAGAAGGUUAGAUAGGACUAGUAUGUAGCCUCUGACCAUGUAGAGCAAGACUCUGUAAGAGAAUGACCUCUAUUCUAUGGUAUUGGCAAAUGGUUAGACAGGGUUAUAAGCCUGAAAUCUACCAAAAUGUUAAUCAGAAAUUGNUUUUAAAAAUAAUAAUAUUAAAAUUAAAGUCAAAAUUAGUCGACGAAGUCUAAACGAAAGUUGUAGAAUAUAUUCCCGCCUACGCGUUCAUAUAUAGAAUGUAAAAAACGGACCUCGUAUACAAAAG